UGCUGUGUCGCCUUUUCUGCUGCUCCCUGAGGCGGUUGCUUUACCAUGUACAGUCUAAAGUCAGUCCUGGGGAUUGGCCACAUUUUUAAGGAGCAGUAAGGAUAAUAGGAAUCAAAACUGGAAAAGAUCAACUGUACCAGCUGACAAGAGUAAAUACGUCUUGUGGUAGAAGGGUGGAAAGACCAAAUGAACGUAGGACAAGAAAGAGUUUCUUUUAAAUCUGAGCCUGUGGGUCCUGAGGAAUUUGUGGAUUAUUGCAGAGCUAAACUACUGUUUUUGAGACCUCACAGAAGGCAAACCAUCUCUGAGGAUUGAGAAGAGACAAGUAAUGUGUCUAUUUGGUAACUAGAGAUAUGACAGCCCAAUACCAUCGGUAUUGAUACCCAUACUGUUAUCCAUUUAAUUUGCAACUACCUGAAAAAAGAUACAACAUUGAGUAGGAGCAACAUGGUUUUGGAAAGAA